UUUACUUUUUAAUUUUUUUAAAGGCAUAAAACUGGACUUAAAGAACUAGAAAUGCUUAGACGAUUAAAUGAUGCAGAUCCUGAUGAUAAAUUUCAUUGCUUACGAUUAUUCAGGCAUUUUUUUCAUAAACAACAUUUAUGCUUAGUGUUUGAACCAUUAAGUAUGAAUCUUAGGGAAGUUUUGAAGAAAUAUGGAAAAGAUGUUGGAUUACAUAUCAAAGCUGUCCGAUCUUAUAGUCAGCAACUAUUUUUAGCACUAAAACUUAUGAAAAGAUGCAAUAUUUUGCAUGCAGAUAUUAAGCCAGAUAAUAUUCUAGUUAAUGAAAGUAAAUUAGUACUGAAAUUAUGUGAUUUUGGUUCUGCUUCACACGUAGCAGAAAAUGAUAUAACACCUUAUCUUGUCAGCCGUUUUUACAGAGCUCCCGAAAUUAUUCUUGGAUUAGGAUAUGAUUUUGGAAUUGAUAUGUGGAGCGUUGGAUGUACGUUGUAUGAAUUAUACACAGGAAAAAUUAUGUUUGCUGGAAAAUCGAAUAAUCAAAUGUUAAAAUUUUUCAUGGAUUUAAAAGGAAAAUUUCCAAACAAAUUAAUACGAAAAGGUGCUUUUAGAGAACAACAUUUCGACAGUAAUUGUAACUUCUUAUCUCAUGAAGUUGAUAAAGUUACAGAAAGGGAGAAAGUUGUGGUUUUAACAAAUAUUAAUGCCAGCAGAGAUUUACAAGCUGAAUUAAUCGGUAGUCAGCGUUUACCGGAUGACCAGUAUCGGAAAGUUUGCCAGUUGAAAGAUCUUCUGGAAAAAAUACUAAUGCUAGAUACAGCAAAGAGAGUAUCAAUUAAUCAUGCUUUGACCCAUCCAUUUAUACAAGAAAAAAUAUAAGAUCUAACAAUAAAGAUGAAAAUGAAUUAAACAAAAGUGCAUUGCAUGUUAACGACAUCUGAAGAACUGAUUUGAAGAAUAAAUCACCUAUCCAUCAAAUACCAAGGACUUUUUGUGUAAUAGUCCCUAAUAAUUAUGCAUGAAGAUCAUGUGUGUAUUUUGAAGAGAUGAUUUUCAAAGCUGUGUUAGAGGCCUGACGAGGUACUGAAUAAACAUCGCUCAAGCGAAAGCAGUAACAAUAUGUGGCUAACUCAGAAGAUGAAUGAAAUCCAGUUCUUCUGGUGUUGAAGUUGGCAGGCAUAACUGUUGUCUGGUUUAUCCUAUUCGGUAGAUCUGCCAGCAUCUAUGCAGAAACAUCCUCGUCGUUUUGUUUAGAGAAAGAUGAUUUUUUGGAGUAUUCUUACUCCACUUAGAAAAUAAUUGAUGGUGAGUAGUGAUUCUAAAGAAGAAACCAAAAGGUAAAAAUCGUAAACAUAUAGAAAAAGAAAGAAAGAAAGAAUUAACAUAUUUGUCUUGGCAAACAACUGAAAUUGUAAAAUUUAAAC
rnacentral:misc_RNA from 1 species